CUAGUCUAGUAACAGAAAGAGUUGAUGGUUAUGGCUAGCGACAGGGCUGUCCAUCGGUUGGUUGAGGCAGCAAAAUUUCCAUAUCCAUGAGGGCGAUGCUAACUGCUAAUUUCAGAGCUCAGGUUCUGCUCCAUGAGGGUUCAGCACAUUCUUUUGGUGGGUUUGUGCACCUCCUUUCAACAGAGGGUUCCUGGGCAAGCAGGGCAAAUGCCCCUGCUCUUGCAGUACUUCGGCACACUGCUAACUCUGGGAAGCUCAAUGCCUUCGAGUCCCUUGAGCUAUCUCCACUCGUCGUCAAUCAGAACAAAAAGAAUCUUCUGGAAAAUUGGUUGGCAGAAGACAAGUUGGAGUGCAGCGAACUGGAUUAUUGAUUGCAUGAAUCUUACUGUACUUUGCCAAAUUACAUGGAACUUUUCUAGUUUUUUCACUAAUCAUGUCUUGUGCCCUUUGAUGUAGACUGUGGAUAAUGAUCUUACACAAAAAAUAUACAUAAAGGCUAGGGCAACCCCUAAAGUUGUUGCUGAUUUUGCUGAAAGUAGUGAGUUUGACAAGAUACUUAUGUACUCGAUAACACCGGAUUGCAGUAGGAUGAUGCAAUUAACACAGGUUCAAUUUUGUUGGGAAAUUCUGAGGAACACGCGCAAGUGGGAGGACGAUUGCAGAGCAAGUGUCACGUUCCUGCUGCAGGUGAAGAAGCUAAUUCGGGAGAUGCUGCUGGUGCAGAUGCUGCUGCUAGCCAAGGUGACUUUAUGCGUGAUGAUGCCAGACCAUCCGAAGUGCAGAUGAGAUACCUAGGCCCAUUGGGAGGGAUGUAGCAAAGAAAAGGCGCAGCCAAGGCGGCUCAGCAUCAUCGACCUUUGCCUGCCUGGAGUUGUUUGAGAAGAUGGCCAAGAACAGAGAAAUCAAGCAUCAACAUUCAUCACUGUGCAGGAGAGACAGCUUGAGUUACAGGAAAAGCAUUACAAUUUCGCGAGGGAUCAGUGGGAAGCAUCUAUUAUGAUGAAGGAUGAUCUCAACACUUGCUCAGAGGUCGCACGUGAGUACUUCAUCAACCUACAGAGGGAGAUACUGGAGAAAAGAUUCAACCGUGGAGGUCGCAGCAGCAGCAAUUAAUCGAAACCUCUACUUCGGCUUGUAUUUUUCGCAUUUGCUUAGGAUAGUUGUUUAUUAUUGAACAAUGUAAAAUGCUGUGAGAUACUUGUGAGAGACUUGUGACAAUAUUAGGCAGCAACUUCCGAUCUGAUUACAGUUGCACCUUUUGUAAUCAAGCAUCAGCAUACUUAUCUGCUA